CCUACGGGGGGCAGCAGUGGGGAAUAUUGCACAAUGGGGGAAACCCUGAUGCAGCGACGCCGCGUGAGUGAAGAAGUAUUUCGGUAUGUAAAGCUCUAUCAGCAGGGAAGAAAAUGACGGUACCUGAUUAAGAAGCCCCGGCUAACUACGUGCCAGCAGCCGCGGUAAUACGUAGGGGGCAAGCGUUACUCGGAUUUACUGGGUGUAAAGGGCGCGUAGACGGCAGCACAAGUCUGGUGUGAAAUGCUGGGGCUUAACCCCGGAACUGCUUUGGAAACUGUGCAGCUAGAGUGCAGGAGAGGUAAGUGGAAUUCCUGGUGUAGCGGUAAAAUGCGUAGAUAUUAGGAGGAACACCAGUGGCGAAGGCGACUUACUGGACUGUAACUGACGUUGAGGCUCGAAAGCGUGGGGAGCAAACAGGAUUAGAUACCCGAGUAGUC
rnacentral:rRNA from 1 species